rnacentral:rRNA from 1 species
GACGAACGCUGGCGGCGUGCUUAACACAUGCAAGUCGAACGAAGAGCGAUGGAAGCUUGCUUCUAUCAAUCUUAGUGGCGAACGGGUGAGUAACGCGUAAUCAACCUGCCCUUCAGAGGGGGACAACAGUUGGAAACGACUGCUAAUGCCGCAUACGAUCUGACCUCGGCAUCGAGGAUAGAUGAAAGGUGGCCUCUAUUUAUAAGCUAUCACUGAAGGAGGGGAUUGCGUCUGAUUAGCUAGUUGGAGGGGUAACGGCCCACCAAGGCGAUGAUCAGUAGCCGGUCUGAGAGGAUGAACGGCCACAUUGGGACUGAGACACGGUCCAGACUCCUACGGGAGGCAGCAGUGGGGAAUCUUCCGCAAUGGACGAAAGUCUGACGGAGCAACGCCGCGUGAGUGAUGACGGCCUUCGGGUUGUAAAGCUCUGUUAAUCGGGACGAAAGGCCUUCUUGCGAAUAGUUAGAAGGAUUGACGGUACCGGAAUAGAAAGCCACGGCUAACUACGUG